GGAAAUGAGAUGGAGGGGGAGGGAUAAAGAAUCAAGAUGUAUUAUGUCCACGUGGGAACUCCCACCAGGAAAGUGAUGAUCAUGUACUGCAAACGGGUACUAAUAAAAACAUUUCAACAUAUUUUUAAGAAAUCAAACAGAUUCCCCCCUUGCUCCCCCAAAAGAGUAAAGUUGCCUAAAUGUCUCAUUCGGAGCGGUUCCUUCCCGUCAGGCCCUGGCUUCCUGAUCGCGCGCUGUAAUCACGCAGGUGUGGUGGGGGACGCCAAUUAGUGUAGGUCAGUACUAGCGCGGAUCAGCAUGGACUAAGUUACCAGUACUCUGGGGUACUUGCUACUGCCAGUCAUUAACAGAGUGCUCCAAAGAGGACCCGCCCCAGAGCACCCCCCGAAGUCCUGAGGAACCAGGCUGGCCCAGUGCGGGGCUGUAAGGAGUCCUCCCGGGCUUCUGAGCUGCUCCAGUUUGAGACCCGCCCCGGGAACCGCAGCGUCUGGGUAGUGCUGCUUUGGGGCGGGGCAGUCCGGUGGCCUACGGCUUGGGGGACUGGAAGCUCUGGUCUCAGAUGCGUGGUUCGGGGUGACAGUCCCCUCCCUUUAUGCUGCUGUGAUGACGCAGUCAGCGUUUGGCCCCCAGGGGAUGCCCCGUGCGGGGCUUGACCUCCUGAAGGCCCCGACGCGCUCAGGUGCACCGAGGAGGGACGGCAGGUGCGGCUGAUCAGGGCCACGGGACCCGCCGGCCUCUGCUGCGCAGCGGCGUGGGCAUGAGUGGGGCAGCGGCGGCGGGCGCUUCCCGAGGCUCCCGGGCCACGCGCGGCAACCGCCGGACGGCGAUGGAGCGGGGCGAGCAGAACGCUGAGUUGAGCUCCUCUGAGGAUGAGAGCCCCCCUCGAGUGCCAAAGAGGCCACCCUGGAAGAUGCCCAUCAAGUACAGCACCCCUGAGGGAGAGGAGGCAGCCCCGUACUGGAGCCCAAGGCCUGGAGGCCGGGCCUCCUACCUGCAAGAGUCCCCAGUGUCUGCGCUCUCUGCCCAGGACCUUGGGCCCCACCAAGCAGGGCUCAGCCCUAGGGCCACCUUCAGGAGGAGGAGGCUUUCCACCAUCUACGCCUUGGAGGAGGGCCCCAGCGUGCAGCCAGGGACCUGCUCAGACCCCUCAUCCCUCGGGGACAACUCACCAGAGCCCGCCUCGUUGGCCAAGCCACAGCAGAAGGCAGAGGACCUGCAAGGAAAUCGCUGGCCACGCAAUGCAGGUCUGCCUGGGGUGCCAGACACCUCCAAGAGGAAGAGACGGGACCCGAAGGAGCGGGCAGCCGUGAUGCUGCGGGUGAGACAGUGGGAGGCCCGUCUGCUGCAGGACAUCGAGGCAGCUGUGCACCAUGAGCUCACCAUCCAGGCCGAGGGGUUGCCUAGCAUGGGCAUGGUCCAGGUCCAGUUCGAUGCCCAGGAGCCCACCACCUCGGACUGACUUAACUGUCCACACCCACCGCACCAUCCACACCCAUUGCCCUGCGGUCCCUGGUGGGUGCAGUGUGAGUGGAUCUUGUGUCAGAGAUGCUGAGGGGAAGGAACUGGGGUCACAGUCUGCAGUUUAAAGUCUGGGUUCUUUGUGUUGUGUGACUUGGAAAGGUCCCGAGCUCUGACUGCACUCCUAUCCUCUACCAUCUGGAUUGGUCGUGGGGACAUCUCUCUGCUUGUCUGACCCCCGGGGUCCUUAUCUGGAGAAUGACAAAAACCUGUCCCAAGGCAAUGAAAGAGCAUAGGACCAAGGCCUGUGUGAGGGUGGCUGUGUGUCCCGCUCCCUGUGCCCUGGGAGAGACCUGGGCGCAGGAGGGAGGUGGUUGUGUGAGAGAAACCUCCCCGGACACCUGCACAGACCAGCAGGGCUGAGGGCUGGCAGAGAGUUUGUGGGAGGAAAGGAAAUGGGCUGCAGGGGUUUGUGGCAGGGCAUAGGCAGGCCAGUACAGUUUCCCAGCUGGGUCUAGCAGGUUCUCUGGUUCCCUGAGACCUUGCCUCUCACCUACAGACAUUGGAAGCUGCAGGGAUGUUCAUGUAGCUUCCCGGGUGGCACUAGAGGAGUUUAACCUCCUGCAGUUGCCUGGGGUGCUCUGUGCCCUAGGUAGUGUCAGGGUCCUCCCAAGGGGCGGCUCUGUCACUCUCAGACCACACAGCAAGGAGGAGAUGAGCAGAAGCCCGAGAAGCUUUGGCUCAAUACAGCACCAGCCUCAAAUCACAUAUGGUGCAGGCCUCUGAGGGCCGCCUUUGUAGGGAUAGGAAUGUGUCUUGGUCUUUUAAAUACAGAGCUAGAUUGUAUCCUUGGAAAUGUCCACGCCCCAUCUGUCUAAAAAGGAUUGCUUUUUUCUUGCAAGUAUGCUUACAUUUCCUCUCUAGUCUGCACUGCUGCCUGCCUGACACUCCUGUGCAUCUGGGGCGGGUGGGCAGGGUAUGCUCAGGCAUGGGGACAGAGGUUAUUGCUAUUGGGGGAUCAGAAAGGGCCGCCUGAAAAGUAAGACCUCAGACUGGGCUAAAAACCAGGACAUGAUAGAUGCUAAGGACAUGCAAAGUCCAGGGUGCCGUGUUUGAAGAGAUGGGGGAAAGUCUCACUCUCUAUCCCCAGGCAGGUGGGAAGUAAUUCAGAUCCAGGGUGAGUUGGGUGAUUCCAGCAAAGAGGGGUUGAUGAGAUUGCUCACAGAGGCAGGAGGGCCAGAGUGGCACCAAUGCCUUCAGAUUCACCCAGUGCCCGUUAUAAGGAACAAGAAUUCACUGACCGUGUUGUAUGUUUAAACAUUUGCAAACUUUCUGAACGAGUUCCACCUACUCAGACUGUUUCCUUUUUUCUAAUUAUCAGGUUGUAAAAUUGUCAGAUGUAUAAAAAUGCUAGAACUUUAUUGUUUCAAAUGAGAAAAUGUAAAACUAUAAAGCGGAAAAAUUGCCUGGAACUAUGUAACACAGUGAGAAGUACUGCGGGGCCAAUUCCUUCUGAUCUUUAUUACUAAAAAUAAAUUGUUUUCACAAGAACUGUUCUAAGUCUGCACUUCAUGCAAAUGGAUUCCGACGUG
ensembl:lincRNA uncharacterized LOC102012500